AAGCUCCUCUCGUUGGAAAGGAUAUUGUCUCAGCCCCACACAAACGGAGAAGCAAUAAGCAUGGAUGCUCGCUCUUUCAGGCGAAGGGAAAGACUCCAUAAAUUAUGCAGGCCGCAUCCGAUCCACGCGCUUGGCCUCUUGGAUUGGUGCCUAAUCCAAUCGAGCCACAGGCAGCUGCAGGGGCUCUAGCGGCCCAUUCCAUCAACGCUUUGAUCAUGACGCAACCGGGGAGACAUCGGCCCUCGCCUUAUCCUCCCACCGAUCAGUCUUCCUACCCUGGGGUGCUUCCCGCAGCCAACCACGUAACACCUAGAGUGUUUUUGAGGGCACGAGAAGCAAGACACCAAUCUGUUUACCGGCACCCUUGUUUCUCCGUGUCCACCACUGCCGCCAUCUUGGAUCACAAAGAAAGCUCAGCAAUGCCUCCACCUUCUCAGAAGAUUGAGGAGAUUCGCCAUGUUGCUGAAAACACUAUCGAACUUCUGCAGGUGUAUGGCAGAGAGAAUAAUAAUUGGUUACAUCACAGCUGGUUCAGCCACUUGAACACACGGAAACAAAGGUAGCUGCUGAAAGUAUCACCUAGUCCUAGUCCAUCACAGGUAUUGACCUCCCCACCAUCAAAAGAAUCUGCAGGAAACGCCGCCUCAAAAAGAUAGCAAAUAUCAUUGAAGACCCACACCAUCCCGGCCAUGCUCUCAUCUCGCUGGUACCGUCAAGAAGGAAAAUUCAGGAGCCCCAGAAUCAUAAUCGCCAGAUUUAAGAUCAACUUCCUCCCAUCAACCAUCAGGAUCUUGAAAUACACUGCGCAACCCUAACCACAGCAAUACCUCAGCAAUGAUGCACAGUGGACUUUGUUUUGCUUGCACUUUGUAUUUUGGUUUACAUUAUUAUGGUCUGGCUAUCAAAUAUAACUAAUCAUUUAUUGAAUUAUUGAUGAUCAUAUUGAUAUUUGCAUUAGUGAGACUGUAAAGCAGCAGCAACUAAGGAUUUCAGUGUUUUGUUUUGAGUACAUAAGGCAAUUAACACUCUUGACUAUUUACUCGAUCAAUAAACCACAUAAUUGUAAUAAUAUUUCUCUAUUCCUAAAAUUUAACCCUUUUCAAUAAAGGCAAAUGUGCUAUUUGCCUUCCAAAGGGCUUAUAACUGUAGAUUGGCUAUUUCAUACUAGCCAAUUAAAGUGCUUGUUAGUAGUAGCUCCGCCUAGUUUGUGCUUUAUAGUAUCAAGUGCUCGCUUACGCUAGCCAGUAGCAGUAGCAGCUCGGAGCUGUAACGUAUGCAGAUCCUAUGCUGUAAGUGAUUUAAUAAACAUGUGUUGUAUCUUAA